GUGGCUUCUGGAUCCUUCAUGCAGAAAUAGAUAAACACCAAAGCUCGUGGAAUUCUGUCAGAUAAAACCCUAAUUCUAGAUGUUUGUUUCAUAUUGAUCCUUUUACAUGUUUAUUUGAUUAUUAAUUUUAGUACUUAAGGACCGUCAACAAAUUCCCCCAAGCUUACCCUUUGCUCGUCCCUGAGCAAACAGCUAAACUCAGACGGAUCAGGAGUUGCUUCGAUGUUUUCUUUCCUGACAGGCACACAUGCUUUUAUAAAAAUUCUUCCAGAUUAGAGUGAAGUGUUAUGAAGUUUAGUACCUGCACUUAAGUCUUAAGUAAUCGAAAGACAAAAUAGUUAAGUCAAGCACUAUCCCUCCUAUCUAUACUUCACCUUUGUUCCAGAGUUUUUCAUAAGUUUUCAAAAUAAAACUCAGAGUUCCCAGCAAUGAUUCUCUCAAGUCUCUCUAUAUGUGGUAUUUGUGGAUCCUUACCAUAAUAUCACUUACCUAUAGCUAAUGGAAUAUUUAAGUGGAGCUCAUAGGAGUGAUAAACAGCUCAUACAUAUGUUGUCUAAUCGAGCCAUGGAUCCAAAGGAACUCAGCAUAUAAUUAAAUCAAGAUGUGCAUGUGUGAUGGAGUAAAUGAUAGUGAUGGUGAAAAUGCAUAAGUGAUAAUAAUAAAAUUUAGUUCUCAUUGCUCCUUAUAUUGCUAUCUCUCCUCUUCUUUGAUCUUUGCUUUGGGAGAACAUGGGCUAUCUUUUUCUUCUUCUCUUUUUUUCUUUAAGGUGGGUAGUAGAUACCCCUAAUUCUACUGUCGGACACUUGUCCAUUUUUUCCGCUCAAGUGGGCAUCUUUGUACCCCUAAUUCUACUCCGGACACUUGUCCAUUUUUACCUCUCGUCUCACUCUUUUUCUUUCUUUUUCGAGGUUCCGGGCACUUGCCCCUUUUUAUUUCCUCGUAUAUUUUUGCAUAACCCAUGCCUCUUCUGCAUUAAAUCUUUUUAGAGAGACAAUAACAAUAUUCGGGACAGUGAGUGAUUAUAUUUUUAGCAAUUUUAAUGAUUGGUGAUGAAUGUUGUGGUAGAUGUGUGCAAGUGAAUAUAUUAAUUUAACCACAUGAAAAGCUCCUAAGGGUCUACACAGCUCGAUUAAACUCAAUGUGAAUAUAGUAAAAGAUGUUAUAGCAAGUAUGGCUGUGGUAGGUAGUUUUGUUAUGCUAGGAACUCAUCAUGUGAUUUGUAAGUUUUCAAAAUAAAUCUCCAGAACUUAGUGUAGUAGGGAUAAGAUAAACAGUAGCUCAACUUUAUAUCAUGUCUUUCUUUUACCUAGACUUUAGUUUUAUGCUUCCCAAAGAUAGUAAUUUUAGUUUUAGUAAUUCCUGGAAGAAUUCUAAUAUAAAAGCUAGGUACUUGUAAGUAAGCAAACAGAGCAACUGUUCAUCAUUUCCAUCAUGCAUAUUUUUGGUCUUUUUAUUUUUUCUAGAGAUUGAACUUAGCAGGUAAAUAAAGCACACUUAUCUACACACUCUUUUUAUUUUGUUUUCAUGUUUAUAAAGUGCAGUAUAUUAAAGCAAGAAAAUAUUUAUUUGGUUUUCUAAGUUUUUUUUCCUUUUAAGAUAAAUUAAAUACUAAGACAGAAU
rnacentral:lncRNA from 1 species